GGGUUGUGAGGUUAAGCGACUAAGCGUACACGGUGGAUGCCCUGGCAGUCAGAGGCGAUGAAGGACGUGCUAAUCUGCGAUAAGCGUCGGUAAGGUGAUAUGAACCGUUAUAACCGGCGAUUUCCGAAUGGGGAAACCCAGUGUGUUUCGACACACUAUCAUUAACUGAAUCCAUAGGUUAAUGAGGCGAACCGGGGGAACUGAAACAUCUAAGUACCCCGAGGAAAAGAAAUCAACCGAGAUUCCCCCAGUAGCGGCGAGCGAACGGGGAGCAGCCCAGAGCCUGAAUCAGUAUGUGUGUUAGUGGAAGCGUCUGGAAAGGCGCGCGAUACAGGGUGACAGCCCCGUACACAAAAAUGCACAUGCUGUGAGCUCGAUGAGUAGGGCGGGACACGUGGUAUCCUGUCUGAAUAUGGGGGGACCAUCCUCCAAGGCUAAAUACUCCUGACUGACCGAUAGUGAACCAGUACCGUGAGGGAAAGGCGAAAAGAACCCCGGCGAGGGGAGUGAAAAAGAACCUGAAACCGUGUACGUACAAGCAGUGGGAGCACGCUUAGGCGUGUGACUGCGUACCUUUUGUAUAAUGGGUCAGCGACUUAUAUUCUGUAGCAAGGUUAACCGAAUAGGGGAGCCGAAGGGAAACCGAGUCUUAACUGGGCGUUAAGUUGCAGGGUAUAGACCCGAAACCCGGUGAUCUAGCCAUGGGCAGGUUGAAGGUUGGGUAACACUAACUGGAGGACCGAACCGACUAAUGUUGAAAAAUUAGCGGAUGACUUGUGGCUGGGGGUGAAAGGCCAAUCAAACCGGGAGAUAGCUGGUUCUCCCCGAAAGCUAUUUAGGUAGCGCCUCGUGAAUUCAUCUCCGGGGGUAGAGCACUGUUUCGGCAAGGGGGUCAUCCCGACUUACCAACCCGAUGCAAACUGCGAAUACCGGAGAAUGUUAUCACGGGAGACACACGGCGGGUGCUAACGUCCGUCGUGAAGAGGGAAACAACCCAGACCGCCAGCUAAGGUCCCAAAGUCAUGGUUAAGUGGGAAACGAUGUGGGAAGGCCCAGACAGCCAGGAUGUUGGCUUAGAAGCAGCCAUCAUUUAAAGAAAGCGUAAUAGCUCACUGGUCGAGUCGGCCUGCGCGGAAGAUGUAACGGGGCUAAACCAUGCACCGAAGCUGCGGCAGCGACGCUGAUGCGUUGUUGGGUAGGGGAGCGUUCUGUAAGCCUGCGAAGGUGUGCUGUGAGGCAUGCUGGAGGUAUCAGAAGUGCGAAUGCUGACAUAAGUAACGAUAAAGCGGGUGAAAAGCCCGCUCGCCGGAAGACCAAGGGUUCCUGUCCAACGUUAAUCGGGGCAGGGUGAGUCGACCCCUAAGGCGAGGCCGAAAGGCGUAGUCGAUGGGAAACAGGUUAAUAUUCCUGUACUUGGUGUUACUGCGAAGGGGGGACGGAGAAGGCUAUGUUGGCCGGGCGACGGUUGUCCCGGUUUAAGCGUGUAGGCUGGUUUUCCAGGCAAAUCCGGAAAAUCAAGGCUGAGGCGUGAUGACGAGGCACUACGGUGCUGAAGCAACAAAUGCCCUGCUUCCAGGAAAAGCCUCUAAGCAUCAGGUAACAUCAAAUCGUACCCCAAACCGACACAGGUGGUCAGGUAGAGAAUACCAAGGCGCUUGAGAGAACUCGGGUGAAGGAACUAGGCAAAAUGGUGCCGUAACUUCGGGAGAAGGCACGCUGAUAUGUAGGUGAGGUCCCUCGCGGAUGGAGCUGAAAUCAGUCGAAGAUACCAGCUGGCUGCAACUGUUUAUUAAAAACACAGCACUGUGCAAACACGAAAGUGGACGUAUACGGUGUGACGCCUGCCCGGUGCCGGAAGGUUAAUUGAUGGGGUUAGCGCAAGCGAAGCUCUUGAUCGAAGCCCCGGUAAACGGCGGCCGUAACUAUAACGGUCCUAAGGUAGCGAAAUUCCUUGUCGGGUAAGUUCCGACCUGCACGAAUGGCGUAAUGAUGGCCAGGCUGUCUCCACCCGAGACUCAGUGAAAUUGAACUCGCUGUGAAGAUGCAGUGUACCCGCGGCAAGACGGAAAGACCCCGUGAACCUUUACUAUAGCUUGACACUGAACAUUGAGCCUUGAUGUGUAGGAUAGGUGGGAGGCUUAGAAGUGUGGACGCCAGUCUGCAUGGAGCCGACCUUGAAAUACCACCCUUUAAUGUUUGAUGUUCUAACGUUGACCCGUAAUCCGGGUUGCGGACAGUGUCUGGUGGGUAGUUUGACUGGGGCGGUCUCCUCCUAAAGAGUAACGGAGGAGCACGAAGGUUGGCUAAUCCUGGUCGGACAUCAGGAGGUUAGUGCAAUGGCAUAAGCCAGCUUGACUGCGAGCGUGACGGCGCGAGCAGGUGCGAAAGCAGGUCAUAGUGAUCCGGUGGUUCUGAAUGGAAGGGCCAUCGCUCAACGGAUAAAAGGUACUCCGGGGAUAACAGGCUGAUACCGCCCAAGAGUUCAUAUCGACGGCGGUGUUUGGCACCUCGAUGUCGGCUCAUCACAUCCUGGGGCUGAAGUAGGUCCCAAGGGUAUGGCUGUUCGCCAUUUAAAGUGGUACGCGAGCUGGGUUUAGAACGUCGUGAGACAGUUCGGUCCCUAUCUGCCGUGGGCGCUGGAGAACUGAGGGGGGCUGCUCCUAGUACGAGAGGACCGGAGUGGACGCAUCACUGGUGUUCGGGUUGUCAUGCCAAUGGCACUGCCCGGUAGCUAAAUGCGGAAGAGAUAAGUGCUGAAAGCAUCUAAGCACGAAACUUGCCCCGAGAUGAGUUCUCCCUGACUCCUUGAGAGUCCUGAAGGAACGUUGAAGACGACGACGUUGAUAGGCCGGGUGUGUAAGCGCAGCGAUGCGUUGAGCUAACCGGUACUAAUGAACCGUGAGGCUUAACCUUACAACGCCGAAGGUGUUU
rnacentral:rRNA from 1 species